UGGGGAAUAUUGGACAAUGGGGGGAACCCUGAUCCAGCCAUGCCGCGUGUGUGAAGAAGGCCUUAUGGUUGUAAAGCACUUUAAGCGAGGAGGAGGGUACUGGUAUUAAUACUACCAGGUACUGGACGUUACUCGCAGAAUAAGCACCGGCUAACUCUGUGCCAGCAGCCGCGGUAAUACAGAGGGUGCGAGCGUUAAUCGGAUUUACUGGGCGUAAAGCGUGCGUAGGCGGCUAAUUGAGUCGGAUGUGAAAUCCCCGAGCUUAACUUGGGAAUUGCAUUCGAUACUGGUUAGCUAGAGUGUGGGAGAGGAUGGUAGAAUUCCAGGUGUAGCGGUGAAAUGCGUAGAGAUCUGGAGGAACACCAGUGGCGAAGGCGACCACCUGGGCUCAUACUGACACUGAGGUGCGAAAGCGUGGGGAGCAAACAGG
rnacentral:rRNA from 1 species